rnacentral:tRNA from 1 species
GCAUCCGUCGCGUUGAUCGCCCGAGAGCAUGAGGUCAACGCCAACCUCGUCUUCAAAUGGCGCCGUCAGAGUCGUGGGUUCGAAUCCCGCCGGAUGCGCCA